GGGCCUUUAGCUCAGUUGGUUAGAGCAGAGGACUCAUAAUCCUUUGGUCAUCGGUUCAAGUCCGAUAGGGCCCACCA
rnacentral:tRNA from 4 species